CAGUUUUUCGUUGUACAAUGAGUGAUUUCCAAGAAAAGUGCUCCACUACUUCAUUCACCGAAUCGGGUACUACUACCCUCAGGACCACACCUUCAUCUACUAGAGAGACACCCUCUACGACCACAACUUCUACAGGUGAAAGAGAUUUUUCUAUUAUUUUUUUUUACCUAUGUAUCUACAAAGGAAGUCUGCUCAUAAAGACCCUACCUUCCCAUUCUAA